AGUGAACGCUGGCGGUAGGCCUAACACAUGCAAGUCGAACGGCAGCACAGGAGAGCUUGCUCUCUGGGUGGCGAGUGGCGGACGGGUGAGGAAUACACCGGAAUCUACUCUGUCGUGGGGGAUAACGUAGGGAAACUUACGCUAAUACCGCAUACGACCUACGGGUGAAAGCAGGGGACCUUCGGGCCUUGCGCGAUUGAAUGAGCCGAUGUCGGAUUAGCUAGUUGGCGGGGUAAAGGCCCACUAAGGCGACGAUCCGUAGCUGGUCUGAGAGGAUGAUCAGCCACGCGGGAACUGAGACACGGGCGAGGCUCCUACGGGAGGCAGCAGUGGGGAAUAUUGGACAAUGGGCGCAAGCCUGAUCCAGCCAUACCGCGUGGGUGAAGAAGGCCUUCGGGUUGUAAAUCCCUUUUGUUGGGAAAGAAAUCCAGCUGGCUAAUACCCGGUUGGGAUGACGGUACCCAAAGAAUAAGCACCGGCUAACUUCGUGCCAGCCGCCGCCGUAA
rnacentral:rRNA from 1 species